UACAGAGGGGGCAAGCGUUGUUCGGAAUUACUGGGCGUAAAGGGCUCGUAGGCGGCCAACUAAGUCAGACGUGAAAUCCCUCGGCUUAACCGGGGAACUGCGUCUGAUACUGGAUGGCUUGAAUCCGGGAGAGGGAUGCAGAAUUCCAGGUGUAGCGGUGAAAUGCGUAGAUAUCUGGAGGAAUACCGGUGGCGAAGGCGGCAUCCUGGACCAGAACGUGACGAUCAGGCACGAAAGCGUGGGGAGCAAACAGG
rnacentral:rRNA from 1 species